AUGAGAAUUGAGCUGGCUCAUGGCUUCCCUUUCAAUGACAUGCUCCAAUAUAAUUGGUCAACGGUCAUCUCAGUGACGGGCAAAGAAGAGAUGGAAAUGGCAGCAUCUUGCCUCUUGUGAGAUAACCAAUAAUUUAGCGACAAAAUGAAAAUGACACUUUUUAGUAGAGGUCUUGUCAACUCCAGGUUGUGAGGGUUGUCGCCAAGUUAGUUAGUAGGUACGUGUGUUGUCUUGUCUUGAUUGGACAUUGUCAUUUAAUUCAACUUCUUACCACUUAAAAGGUCUAAUCCCUUCAUCAGUAUACUUAAUUUUAGCCACAAGGUAGUUUGGGGUUCAUAACACAGCUUUGGUCUAUUUAUGAACUGUAACUUAGAUUGAAAUUUCCUUA